AGAAUUUUUCUCAAUGGGGGAAACCCUGAAGGAGCGACGCCGCGUGGAGGAUGAAGGUUUUCGGAUCGUAAACUCCUGUCAUUGGGGAACAAUGCAACGAGCAGUAACUGGCUUGUUGUUGAUAGUACCCGAAGAGGAAGGGACGGCUAACUCUGUGCCAGCAGCCGCGGUAAUACAGAGGUCCCAAGCGGUGUUCGGAUUCAUUGGGCGUAAAGGGUGCGUAGGCGGUAGGGUAAGUUGGAUGUGAAAUCUCGGGGCUCAACCCCGAAACUGCAUUCAAUACUGCUCUGCUAGAGUACUGGAGAGGAGAUUGGAAUUCACGGUGUAGCAGUGAAAUGCGUAGAUAUCGUGAGGAAGACCAGUGGCGAAGGCGAAUCUCUGGACAGUAACUGACGCUGAGGCACGAAGGCCAGGGGAGCAAA
rnacentral:rRNA from 1 species